rnacentral:misc_RNA from 1 species
UUGGUCUUCUUGCUUUGGUCUUUUGGGCAUGGUUUCUUCAGCAAAAAUGUGCCAUUAUAAGUCUAGUUUCAUGUACAAUUGGCCAAACACCAAUUGAACUUACACAGCCAAAGUUAUGAUUGUCCAAGUGGGCUGGAAUUCCAGCCACCCUGCUGCACUCACAUGGCAGCCUACCAUUUCACUUUGUAACAUUUUAAUGCACUUCAAAUUAUGAUCAACUUACCUCAAAUGGUCACU